rnacentral:siRNA from 1 species
UCUGUAAAGAGUGCUGAGCA